UUAGGUAAUUUAUAACAAUAUGCACUCAAUCUUCAAAGAAAUUCACCCACCAACUGUUGUGGAUCAUGCUGUUCGUUGUUACUUUUUUGAUAGCAGAGAAGUCAAUUUAGUAACAGCUGGGGGACAGCGCCUUAAUGUAUACAGAUUAUGUGAUGCAGAUAUGGUGGUUUCUGACGGAGACCAAAGUUCUAAAAUAGUAGAUAGCGUUGGGAAAAGAAGAUUAGAACUUCUAGCUUCCUUUACAUUGUUUGGAAACAUAAUCAACAUGCAAGUUGUUCGACUUGGAAGUAAUGUUCGUGAUUCUUUGCUGUUGGCAUUUAAACAUGCAAAGCUUUCAAUAGUAGAAUUUGAUCCUUUAAGCCAUGACUUAAAAACAGAUUCAAUGCAUUACUUUGAAAAUGAUGAGUUUAAGGGUGGUCUUUCUCAUAAUAUUUAUUUACCAUUAGUAAGAGUUGAUCCUGAGCAAAGAUGUGCAUGCAUGCUUAUUUAUAAUCGACAUUUAGUUGUUCUUCCUUUUAAACAUGAUAUAAAACUUGACGAGUCUGAAGAACUAAGUGAUGGAGAGCAUAUUAAAUCUGUACUUCCAAGUUAUAUGAUUGAUCUUCAUUCACUUGAGCAGCCUCUGUUGAACAUAACUGAGUUGCAAUUUCUUCAUGGGUACCAUCAACCAACAUUGAUGUUUCUUUUUGAACCUGUGCAAACUUCUACUGGGAGAGUUGCUGUUCGCCAAGAUACAUUUUGUGUUUCGGCUAUUUCGUUGAACAUGACAGAAAAAGUGCAUCCAGUUAUUUGGUCAGUUACUAACUUACCAUUUGAUUGCCAUAUGUUACGACCAAUAGAAAAACCAAUUGGUGGCGUGUUGGUGUUUGCAUCAAAUUCUCUUAUAUAUCUAAACCAAAGCAUUCCUCCAUAUGGUGUAUCUCUUAACAGUAUAACUGAAGGAAGUACAAUGUUUCCUUUAAAAAUUCAGGAAGAUGUUGUAAUAACUCUUGCAGAAUCAAGUUGUGAUGCAAUAGCAACUGACCAAUUUAUACUUUCUUUAAAAGGUGGUGAAAUUUAUGUACUGUCAUUGUUAUCUGAUGGGUUAAGAACGGUUCGAAGUUUCCAUUUUGAGAAAGCAGCUGGUAGUGUUCUAGCAUCCUGUGUUUGUUGGAUUGAACAUGGAUUUGUUUUCUUGGGGUCGAGAUUGGGUAACUCUUUGCUUCUUCGUUACACUGAGAAAGAUAGUGCUUCUAUAGCUGAAAAAUCAAAAGAAGCUAAAGUUGAGUUACCACUAUCUCCAAAGCAAAAAAAAAGAAGACUCAGCAUUACUGAUGAAGAUUUACUGCUAUAUGGUGAGUAUGAAGAGCCAACUUUAAGUGUAAUUACCACCUAUACCUUCAAUGUGUGUGAUAGUUUAUUAAAUAUUGGUCCUAUAACAAAAGCUGCGCUUGGUGAACCAGCUUUUCUCUCUGAAGAGUUUUUUGGUUCUCGCCAAAUAGAUCUUGAAAUGGUCUGUUGCUCAGGUUAUGGUAAAAAUGGAACAUUAACAGUUUUACAGAGAAGUAUUCGUCCACAAGUGGUUACAACAUUUGAACUUCCAGGCUGUGUUAAUAUGUGGACAGUAUGUGGAAAGUCAUCUAAGGAAAGUGUUGAGAACUAUCACUCUUACUUAAUAUUGUCUCGGGAUGAUUCUACGAUGGUUUUAAAAACCGGUGCUGAAAUUACUGAACUGGAUAAUUCUGGAUUUAAUGUACAGCAACCAACCAUCUUUGCUUGUAAUCAUUUAUCAAAUAAGUAUAUUUUGCAAGUUUGUCCUCAGAGUAUUCACCUCUUAGAAGAUACUGUGCAGAUCAACUCAAUCUUGUUACAAGAUACAAUAAAAAUUACUCAGUGUUCUAUAUCUGAUCCUUAUGUGGUAAUGGUUGAUUCAACUGGCCAACUAAUAUAUUUGCAAGUUAUUGAAGAUUCUGAAGGAGUGCAAUUAAAAAUGAACAAUAUUAAAACUUCAAACAAUGGAAAAAUUUCUUCAAUAUGUGUUUAUAAAGACGAAAGUGGUUUAUUCAGUGUUUCAAAUCAAAUCAAAGAUAACUCUCAAGCGAAAAAACAAUCUUUUUUAAGAGAGAGAAAAAGAUCAACUUAUAUUGAAGAUGAGGAGGAAUUUCUUUAUUCUACUACAUCUGAAGAAACUUAUGAAGAACUCUCGCGAAGAAACUCAUUCAGUUCUUCAAAUAAUGCUAGUAUGUUUCCAAUUGUUGCAACAUAUUGGUGCUUGGUAUGUACAGAGUAUGGAAGACUUGAAAUAUACGCUUUACCAAGUUUUAACUUGGUGUUCAACUCAAAUAACUUUUAUGAUGCACCUAAAAUUUUAGUUGACAGCACGGUGAACAACUCCAUAACAGAUGAGCCAUACAACCAAGUUAAAGAAAUACUAAUGGUUGGUGCUGGUUAUUUAAGACGUCGACCUUUUUUAUAUGCACUUAUUGAUCAAGAUCUUGUUGUUUAUGAAUGUUUCAGUAUGUGUAAACAAACUUUUUCUGGUCAUUUGGGUGUAAGGUUUAAAAAGAUGGAAAUGAAUGUUUUAAUGAGAGUCAAAGAAGAAGCUAAACUGGCUGAGAUGGCAAAUCCAGUAAAAGAAAAAAUAAAGGCCCCUUUGUUGCGUGAAGUAAAUAAUGUUGCAUCAUAUGACUCUGGUGUGUUUGUUUGUGGUGCUUAUCCUCAUUGGUUUUUUACUACUUUCCGUGGAGAAAUACAUGUGCACCCAUUGUCUAUUGAUGGUCCAAUAACUAUGUUCGCUCCAUUUAAUAAUGUUAAUUGCCCUAAAGGAUUUCUUUAUUUCAACAAAAUUGGAGAACUGCGUAUUGCUGUGCUUCCAUCUCACCUAAACUAUGAUUCACCAUGGCCAGUCCGAAAAGUACCAUUAAGAAUGACACCCUAUGAAAUAGCAUAUCUUCCUGAUGCAAAGGUAUAUGCAGUAGCAUCGUCUUAUACUGAAAACCAAAAGAAAUUACCUCGUUUUCAUACAGAGGAGAGAGAAUUUGAUACAGUAGAAAGAGAGCCAAGAUAUAUUUAUCCACAGAUUGAAAGAUUUGUAGUGAGCCUAAUAUCUCCUACCAGUUGGGAAACUGUUCCAAACUCAAGAACAGUGCUUCAAGAAUUUGAGCAUGUCACUUGUAUGAAAGUUUUGCUUUUACAUUCUGAAUUAGUUGAUAUUGGUUUAAAACAAUACCUGGUGGUUGGUACAACAUUUAAUUAUGGUGAAGAUCUUGCUUGCAAGGGAAGGAUUCUUAUAUUUGAUGUGUUAGAAGUUGUCCCGGAGCCUGGCCAACCUCUUACUAAAACUAAAUGCAAGUGUGUGUAUGAUAAGGAACAAAAAGGACCAGUUACAGCUAUUUGUGCAACUAGUGGAUAUAUUAUUGCUGCAGUUGGUCAGAAGAUUUAUGCAUUUAAAUAUAAAGACAAUGAUUUAGUUGGGGUAGCUUUUGUUGAUUCCCAAGUAUUCACUGUAAAUCUAAUGGCGAUACGAAAUGUUAUUGUAGCUGCUGACAUAUCUAGAAGUGGAACAUAAAUCUUUGGCAUUAGUUAGCAGGGAUACAAAAACUUUAGAAGCAUACACAUCUGAGUUUUUUAUUGAUGGUUCUCAAGUAGGAUUUGUAGUUUCUGAUGCUGAACGAAAUAUU
rnacentral:misc_RNA from 1 species